UAGGGAAUAUUGCACAAUGGAGGAAACUCUGAUGCAGCGACGCCGCGUGAGUGAUGAAGGCCUUCGGGUUGUAAAGCUCUGUUCUCAGGGAAAAAGCAAGUGAUUGUACCUGAGGAGAAAGGACCGGCUAACUUCGUGCCAGCAGCCGCGGUAAGACGAGGGGUCCAAGCGUUGUUCGGAAUUAUUGGGCGUAAAGCGGGUGUAGGUGGAUCUAUAAGUCAGGAGUGAAAGCCCCGAGCUUAACUUGGGAAGUGCUUUUGAUACUGUAGAUCUUGAAUGUGGGAGAGGAUCGUGGAAUUCCAGGUGUAGUGGUGAAAUACGUAGAUAUCUGGAGGAACACCGGUGGCGAAGGCGGCGAUCUGGCCCAACAUUGACACUGAGACCCGAAAGCGCGGGGAUCAAA
rnacentral:rRNA from 1 species